rnacentral:misc_RNA from 1 species
GAUGAAGAACGUAGCGAAAUGCGAUACGUAAUGUGAAUUGCAAAUUCAGUGAAUCAUCGAGUCUUUGAACGCACAUUGCCCCCCUGGUAUUCCGGGGGGCAUGUCUGUCCGAGCGUCAUUGCUGCCCUCAAGCACGGCUUGUGUGUUGGGCCCCGUCCUCCGAUCCCGGGGGACGGGCCCGAAAGGCAGCGGCGGCACCGCGUCCGGUCCUCGAGCGUAUGGGGCUUUGUCACCCGCUCUGUAGGCCCGGCCGGCGCUUGCCGAUCAACCCAAAUUUUUAUCCAGGUUGACCUCGGAUCAGGUAGGGAUACCCGCUGAACUUAAGCAUAUCAAUAAGCGGAGGA